rnacentral:rRNA from 1 species
GAUGAACGCUGGCGGCGUGCCUAAUACAUGCAAGUCGAGCGAACAGAUGAGGAGCUUGCUCCUCUGACGUUAGCGGCGGACGGGUGAGUAACACGUGGAUAACCUACCUAUAAGACUGGGAUAACUUCGGGAAACCGGAGCUAAUACCGGAUAAUAUAUUGAACCGCAUGGUUCAAUAGUGAAAGACGGUUUUGCUGUCACUUAUAGAUGGAUCCGCGCCGCAUUAGCUAGUUGGUAAGGUAGCGGCUUACCAAGGCAACGAUGCGUAGCCGACCUGAGAGGGUGAUCGGCCACACUGGAACUGAGACACGGUCCAGACUCCUACGGGAGGCAGCAGUAGGGAAUCUUCCGCAAUGGGCGAAAGCCUGACGGAGCAACGCCGCGUGAGUGAUGAAGGUCUUCGGAUCGUAAAACUCUGUUAUUAGGGAAGAACAAAUGUGUAAGUAACUAUGCACGUCUUGACGGUACCUAAUCAGAAAGCCACGGCUAGCUACGUG